AUACGGAGGAUGUAAGCGUUAUCCGGAUUUAUUGGGUUUAAAGGGUGCGUAGGCGGUUUGCUAAGCGGGAGGUGAAAUGCCGGCGCUCAACGUCGGAAGUGCCUCCCGAACUGGUGGACUUGAAUGACUCUGCCGUGGGAGGAAUGUGUAGUGUAGCGGUGAAAUGCUUAGAGAUUACACAGAACACCGAUUGCGAAGGCAUCUCACGAAGGGUUGAUUGACGCUGAGGCACGAAAGCGUGGGGAUCAAACAGGAUUAGAUACCCUGGUAGUCCACGCAGUAAACGAUGAUGGCUAACCGCUGGAUCCAUCGGUUCAGUGGCCAAGCGAAAGCGAUAAGCCAUCCACCUGGGGAGUACGACCGCAAGGUUGAAACUCAAAUGAAUUGACGGGG
rnacentral:rRNA from 1 species